CAGUAGCCGCGGUAAUACGAAGGGGGCUAGCGUUGUUUGGAAUUACUGGGCGUAAAGCGCACGUAGGCGGACAUUUAAGUCAGGGGUGAAAUCCCGGGGCUCAACCCCGGAACUGCCUUUGAUACUGGGUGUCUAGAGUAUGGAAGAGGUGAGUGGAAUUCCAAGUGUAGAGGUGAAAUUCGUAGAUAUUCGGAGGAACACCAGUGGCGAAGGCGGCUCACUGGUCCAUUACUGACGCUGAGGUGCGAAAGCGUGGGGAGCAAACAGGAUUAGAUACCCCAGUAGUCCCUGUCUCUUAUAC
rnacentral:rRNA from 1 species